rnacentral:lncRNA from 1 species
GGGGAAGCCUGUCUCCCGCCCCCCACUGGACCUCACAGUCUGGUAGGGGAGGUCAGGCCGGGUACCCAGGCUCUUAGAGCAGACGGAGUGAGCCAGGACCUUGGGCGGGUGAGGGGCACGUGCACCCAGAGGACUUGGGAGGGGGUUGGGGCCACCCCUCAGCUCCCAGCUGAUGGAGGUCUCCUAGCCCCAGGGCAGCAAGACUCAAAGGCCCCCCACCAGCCCCUGGGGCCCCCGGCUGGGGCUGGCUCCCUGGGCCCUGUUUCUGCCCCCACUUGGCUCCUGGACAGAGACAGAAUAGGAGGUAAGACGCUUGGAUUCAAGGCCAGACACCUCAACUCCAUGGCCCUCGCUUCCUCACCCAUAACACGCCCCCCUGGCAGGUUUGCUGGGAAGACUGAACCAGCCCCUCCAGGCCAGCACCCAGAGGUGGCCUGGCACUGUGUGGACGCCCCCUCACUGGCAGCCAUUCCCUGCCCUAACCCUGCACUUCAUGCCCGGAGCCGCCAUGGCUGAUGCGCUGCUUCCUGAGCUCUGGCUUUCCACAGCGAAUGGAAACUCUGAGAGGGACCGUGUCUCUUUGUAUCUCCCCAGCAACCAGCGAGGGCCUGGCACCGGGCUCCUGGGGACCGCCGGGCGGGCUGAAUUGUUCAGGGCUGGCGGCGGGGCUGAGUGACUCACCCCACAGGAGAGGUGCCCACGUUAACCCAGCGACUCCAUUCCAGGCAGCGCUUGUUCCCCAGCGCCGGAGGCCACGGAGGUUUGGGGCCAAGGAGUGACAAGACCUGGCUUCAGUUUACAAAGAUCAUUCUGGCUGCUGCCUAGAGAAUGGAAGGCUGGCAGGGAGAGCCCACCGGGAGGCCACUGCAGCAGGCCAGGGAGAGAGAGGUGAGAACGGGGGACUAGCUUUGGAGACAGCAAGAAGCAAUGGAUUUGAAAGCUGCUGAUGUGUUUUGAAAAUGGAACUGACGGGAUUUGACACCAGAAUGGAGGUGGGUGUGAGGAAUGAGGAGGCAAGGGGGAUUCCGAGAUUUGCCAACUGAGCAUCUAAGUCGAUGGAGCUGGUGAGGGGAAGUUACGAAUUCUGUUUGGGACAUGUGAAGUUUGAGGUGACCAUUAGGCACCCUGGUGGAGAUGUUGCUGUGCACUCGGAGAUGUGAGGCCGUGACUCUGGACUCGGGGUGGGGGUCGGGAGCUGGAGACACGCAUUUCCUUGGCUUGGAGAUGGAACUGACAGCUGUGGGAGAGAUGCAACCCCUGGAGAAACUUAAAAUGGAGGGCAAGGGGAGUGAGCACGGAGCCCUGGGCCUCACCAUGGAGAGGUUUGGAAGAGGAGGCUGAACCAGCCGGGAGACUCCGAAAGAGGGGCCAGCGAGCCAGGAGCACAACGGAGGUGAAGGCUGGUCGAGUAAGGUCCCAAGAGAAAGGAUGCACUCUAGUUAGAGCCCCUUUUGCCUAAGGCUGGAUCUGCCUGGGCGGGUGUGGUCAGAAAAGCUGGCCUGGCUGGGGCAUUGAGUGCAUACGGGACCUCCGCAAACAGUCUGCAGCCUUGUGACCCGGGACUUUACUUACCCACCAGCUGGGGGCUGGUGAUGCGGUGUCUUCCCACAGGGCUCCUUGCACCCGUACCUGUGAGGCAGUGAGGGUGAUCUUUGCAUCCAGGAAAAAGACGUACCAGUUAGGAUGCCUCAAGCCAAUAUAAGUGAUGCUUGCUACUCCAAGUGUGCUCUGAACCAGCAGCAGCAGCAACUGGGAUCUUGCUAAAAAUACAGAAUCUCAG